UACGGAGGGUGCAAGCGUUGUCCGGAUUUAUUGGGUUUAAAGGGUGCGUAGGCGGCCUAUUAAGUCAGUGGUGAAAGCCUCCAGCUUAACUGGAGAACUGCCAUUGAUACUGUUAGGCUUGAGUAUACUUGAGGUAGGCGGAAUUGACAGUGUAGCGGUGAAAUGCAUAGAUAUUGUCAAGAACACCAAUUGCGAAGGCAGCUUACUAAAUUAUAACUGACGCUGAGGCACGAAAGUGUGGGUAUCAAACAGG
rnacentral:rRNA from 1 species